rnacentral:rRNA from 1 species
AGGGAAUCUUCCACCAUGGACGCAAGUCUGAUGGAGCAACGCCGCGUGAGUGAAGAAGGCUUUCGGGUCGUAAAACUCUGUUAUCGACGAAUAACGUGUGUGAGAGUAACUGCCCAUGCAGCGACGGCAUUCAACCAGAAAGUCACGGCUAACUACUUGCCAGCAGCCGCGGUAAUACGUAGGUGGCAAGCGUUGUCCGGAUUUAUUGGGCGUAAAGCGAGUGCAGGCGGUUUUUUAAGUCUGAUGUGAAAGCCUUCGGCUUAACCGAAGAAGUGCAUCGGAAACUGGGAAACUUGAGUGCAGAAGAGGAGAGUGGAACUCCAUGUGUAGCGGUGAAAUGCGUAGAUAUAUGGAAGAACACCAGUGGCGAAGGCGGCUCUCUGGUCUGUAACUGACGCUGAGGCUCGAAAGCGUGGGUAGCAAACA